UACGUAGGGUGCGAGCGUUGUCCGGAAUUACUGGGCGUAAAGAGCUCGUAGGUGGUUUGUCGCGUUGUCCGUGAAAACUCACAACUCAAUUGUGGGCGUGCGGGCGAUACGGGCAGACUGGAGUACUGCAGGGGAGACUGGAAUUCCUGGUGUAGCGGUGGAAUGCGCAGAUAUCAGGAGGAACACCGGUGGCGAAGGCGGCAUCCUGGACCAACACU
rnacentral:rRNA from 1 species